rnacentral:lncRNA from 1 species
GAUGGUUUUCAGGUUUUGCUGUAUUGCGAAAUGUCAUGUCUCUUGCUAUGAAUCCCUUUCCAGACACGGCUGCAAAGUGGAACAGUAUGUAAAAGGUAUUGUUGGUUAAUUUGGGACGAAGUUGAGCUUAAUCAAGCAUUGAAUUAGAUUUAAUUGAAGUGUGAUUACAGUUUUAUUAGUUUAGUUUUAUUCAAAUUAUAUCUGUUCAUGCUUAAAUUUUUAAAAACAGAGUUAUAAUCUCAAUCUAUAAGUUAAUUAGAGAAGCAUGAUACGAAGGACUUACCAACAGUUGCAGUUCGAAAAGUUGUCCAUCCUUGCAUGAAAUUUCGAUUUCCAGUCACCACAGUCUCUCCAAUUCCAUCUCCAACAAGCAUAAUAUUAGUUUUCUUUCUCUUCAUAUCUAUGUUUUCUCUAUAAACACCCUUCUUCACAUAUAUAAUAUACCUUCUGUUACUGUAGCUUGGAGCUUCGCUAAUUGCUUCUGUGAUUGUUUGAUAAUUGCCCGUUCCAUCUAACGCCACAAUUGCAUCUACGUGCAUGCGAAGAGGACUGGCAUUGAGAAGCUCUUGAUCACCAUCAGUGAUCCAAUUCGGAAGGUCCAUGUCUUCUGAUUCUGAGCUAUUCUCAAGGUUUGUAAACGGAUG